GGGCGCUUAGCUCAGCGGUUAGAGCGUUCGGUUUACACCCGAAAGGUCGAAGGUUCAAAUCCUUCAGUGCCCACCA
rnacentral:tRNA from 1 species